GAUGAAGAACGCAGCGAAAUGCGAUAAGUAAUGUGAAUUGCAGAAUUCAGUGAAUCAUCGAGUUUUUGAACGCACAUUGCGCCCCUUGGUAUUCCGAGGGGCAUGCCUGUUCGAGCGUCAUUAUAACCCCUCAAGCUCAGCUUGGUGUUGGGGCCUGCUGCACUGGCAGCCCUUAAAAUCAGUGGCGGCGCCAUCUGGCUCUAAGCGUAGUAAUUCUUCUCGCUAUGGAGUCCUGGUGGAUGCUUGCCAUCAACCCCCAAUUUUUCUAUGGUUGACCUCGGAUCAGGUAGGGAUACCCGCUGAACUUAAGCAUAUCAAUAAGCGGAGGA
rnacentral:misc_RNA from 1 species